CAUCUUUAUCAGUCUAUAUAUAUACGCAAACUUUAGCACAAUUUAGCAGCUGAUCAAGCAAUUUCGGUUUCUAGUGAAAGUUGAAGAUGGUCAGUGAUGAAACAAAAACUGAUAGCACUGGUUUUGGAAUGGGAAUGUCUUUUAAUAGGGCAAGCCACAAACAAAGUUCUUCCAAAAUGGUAAUUUUGUGCCGGUACCGUGGUAUCUACUGGAAUAUACAUUUUGAUGUUAAACUCACGCGACACUGCAGAAAGUCUCUGUAGCCUUUGGCUGAACUGAAUCACUAAGCCUUUUACUCCAUCGCUCUGACAGAAUAUGUUGGUGAAACAGCAAUACACGGCUGGUAAAUUUUAUCCACGUUUCAUUUUCUUGGUCGAUCGAGCUGCACGUCUAACAUUUCACGAAGGUAUAGCGACAUCUUCAUUCGAUCUUUUUCAUUUAGUCGAUUGUCUAAUGUACAGUGCUGCAUAGCAUGUUCUAGCUUUGUCGUAACUGCUUCUAAUUUCACUUUCCCCAUUAGCAAUAACAUCGCUUCGGUUCUUACAAUCCAAUUUAAAUUUUAAGUCUUGUAGCAAGUCUUUUAUAAUUUAUUUCAAUAGUG